UACGUAGGGCGCAAGCGUUGUCCGGAAUUAUUGGGCGUAAAGAGCUCGUAGGCGGUUUGUCGCGUCGGCCGUGAAAACUUGGGGCUUAACUCCAAGCUUGCGGUCGAUACGGGCAGACUUGAGUUCGGCAGGGGAGACUGGAAUUCCUGGUGUAGCGGUGAAAUGCGCAGAUAUCAGGAGGAACACCGGUGGCGAAGGCGGGUCUCUGGGCCGACACUGACGCUGAGGAGCGAAAGCGUGGGGAGCGAACAGG
rnacentral:rRNA from 1 species